GAUGAACGCUGGCGGCGUGCCUAAUACAUGCAAGUCGAGCGAACGGACGAGAAGCUUGCUUCUCUGAUGUUAGCGGCGGACGGGUGAGUAACACGUGGAUAACCUACCUAUAAGACUGGGAUAACUUCGGGAAACCGGAGCUAAUACCGGAUAAUAUUUUGAACCGCAUGGUUCAAAAGUGAAAGACGGUCUUGCUGUCACUUAUAGAUGGAUCCGCGCUGCAUUAGCUAGUUGGUAAGGUAACGGCUUACCAAGGCAACGAUGCAUAGCCGACCUGGGAGGGGGGUGGGGGACGGUGGAAGUGGGACGGGGUCCAGGCUCCGACGGGAGGCAGCAGUAGGAGAUCUUACGCAAUGGGCGAAGGCCUGACGGAGCAGCGCCGCGUGAGUGAUGAAGGUCUUCGGAUCGUAGAACUCUGUUAUUAGGGAAGAACAUAUGUGUAAGUAGCUGUGCGCAUCUUGACGGUACCUAAUCAGAAAGCCACGGCUAACUACGUG
rnacentral:rRNA from 1 species